CAUGGCUCUUUGAGUACGAUCUCGUCACCAGUGAUAACAGACUGAUUUGUAGUCGUUGGGUGACCAUAGAGGAAGGUAGUCACGUGCUGAAAAGCGAAUCAGCUACGCAAGUAACAGGUGCAGGAGAGACAGUAUUCACCGCUCUAGUUUACGGAGUUGGAGGCAGUAUCGCUUACCUGUACAAUGCAGGUUUUGGUCUGCAACCAAAAACGUGCAUCGCUCCAAGUUCUGACCCACCAUACAAGGAGAUUGAAGUGUCGUGUGCUAGUCAGCGAAGAAUUGAUUGUUCUGGGAGCAACCCAUGUCAGAACGGAGGUACCUGUGAGAACGAUGCAUGUACAUGUGCAGCCGGUUUUGAUGGUGUUUCGUGUAGUACAGCUAUUUGCCAGAAUAUCUCAUGGAUAUCUCCUCGGUUUGAAGAAGUCGAAUUUCCGGUGGGUGAAAACGGUACGUGGGCGAAUUCAACAGGAAUGUGUCCAUUCAACACUA